GAUGAACGCUGGCGGCGUGCCUAAUACAUGCAAGUCGAGCGAACAGACGAGGAGCUUGCUCCUCUGACGUUAGCGGCGGACGGGUGAGUAACACGUGGAUAACCUACCUAUAAGACUGGGAUAACUUCGGGAAACCGGAGCUAAUACCGGAUAAUAUAUUGAACCGCAUGGUUCAAUAGUGAAAGACGGUUUUGCUGUCACUUAUAGAUGGAUCCGCGCCGCAUUAGCUAGUUGGUAAGGUAACGGCUUACCAAGGCAACGAUGCGUAGCCGACCUGAGGGGGUGAUCGGCCACACUGGAACGGAGACACGGUCCAGACUCCUACGGGAGGCAGCAGUAGGGAAUCUUCCGCAAUGGGCGAAAGCCUGACGGAGCAACGCCGCGUGAGUGAUGAAGGUCUUCGGAUCGUAAAACUCUGUUAUUAGGGAAGAACAAAUGUGUAAGUAACUAUGCACGUCUUGACGGUACCUAAUCAGAAAGCCACGGCUAACUACGUG
rnacentral:rRNA from 1 species